rnacentral:lncRNA from 1 species
AGAAAGGCUACUUGUGGUUUAUUUUAACCAAGAUUAGGCUUCAUUUUGCCCAGAGCCUGACAACUUGAAUGACGUUGAACUUAAAGAAAAUGAAAUAACUGGGCUUAGAAAAUGAGAGAAAACAAGCUUAAAAUUUGGGACAACGGAUAACAAAGCGGCCAUGUGCAGCACUGAGCACUGGGACAGCAGUGAGGCAUGCUUGCUCGGACAGUGACUGUAUCAGCAAAAUGAGACGCCACUUGACAUAGGCUAUGCAAUCAGCGCUCUGUGAACAAUGCCCCUAUCAACCAGUUAGCAACCUAGAACCCCAACGUCCAUCAGGAAACAUAUAUGCCUGCUUUAUACAAUGAAAACACUCCCCUAUUACCAUGUUUCUAUUCAAAUGAAUUCUGUAAGGCUUCAGGAACCCUUGGGCAAUGGACUCAUCUGCCAUGAACUGAUUUGGGGUACAUGCACAAUAAGCAAAUUAUGUUCAUAAAAUGGAUCUCCAGA